rnacentral:rRNA from 1 species
GGCGCAAGCCUGACGAAGCAAUACCGCGUGAAGGAUGAAGGCCUGCGGGUUGUAAACUUCUUUUAUUAGAGAAGAUAAUGACGGUAUCUAAUGAAUAAGCAUCGGCUAACUAUGUGCCAGCAGCCGCGGUAAU